rnacentral:rRNA from 1 species
UACGAAGGGGGGCUAGCGUUGCUCGGAAUCACUGGGCGUAAAGCGCACGUAGGCGGAUUCUUAAGUCGGUGGUGAAAGCCUGGAGCUCAACUCCAGAACUGCCUUCGAUACUGAGAGUCUUGAGUCCGGGAGAGGUGAGUGGAACUGCGAGUGUAGAGGUGAAAUUCGUAGAUAUUCGCAAGAACACCAGUGGCGAAGGCGGCUAACUGGUCCCAGAUCUGACGCUGAGGUGCGAAAGCGUGGGGAGCAAACAGGAUUAGAAACC